UGUGUGUCUGGUCACUGUGAUUUUAAUACA
rnacentral:piRNA from 1 species